GACGAACGCUGGCGGCGUGCUUAACACAUGCAAGUCGAACGGAAAGGCCCUGCUUUUGUGGGGUGCUCGAAUGGCGAACGGGUGAGUAACACGUGAGUAACCUGCCCUUGACUUGGGGAUAACUUCAGGAAACUGGGGCUAAUACCGGAUAGGAGCUCCUGCUGCAUGGUGGGGGUUGGAAAGUUUCGGCGGUUGGGGAUGGACUCGCGGCUUAUCAGCUUGUUGGUGGGGUAGUGGCUUACCAAGGCUUUGACGGGUAGCCGGCCUGGGAGGGUGACCGGCCACAUUGGGACUGAGAUACGGCCCAGACUCCUACGGGAGGCAGCAGUGGGGAAUAUUGCACAAUGGGCGGAAGCCUGAUGCAGCAACGCCGCGUGCGGGAUGACGGCCUUCGGGUUGUAAACCGCUUUCGCCUGUGACGAAGCGUGAGUGACGGUAAUGGGUAAAGAAGCACCGGCUAACUACGUG
rnacentral:rRNA from 1 species